rnacentral:rRNA from 1 species
GGGAGUCUUCAUCAAUGGGCGCGAGCCUGACGGAGCAACGCCGCGUGAGUGAAGAAGGUUUUCGGAUUGUAAAACUCUGUCUAGGGGGAAGAAGAGAGUGACGGUACCCCUGGAGGAAGCCCCGGCUAACUACGUGCCAGCAGCCGCGGUAAAACGUAGGGGGCGAGCGUUGUCCGGAAUUACUGGGCGUAAAGGGCGUGUAGGCGGCAAUAGCAAGUCCAUAGUGAAACCCGCCGGCUCUCCCGUUGACGUGCUAUAGAAACUGUUAAGCUUGAGUGCAGGAGAGGGGAGUGGAAUUCCCAGUGUAGCGGUGAAAUGUGUAGAUAUUGGGAGGAACACCAGUGGCGAAAGCGGCUCCCUGGCCUGUAACUGACGCUGAGGCGCGAAAGCGUGGGUAGCAAACACGAUUAGAUACCCCGGUAGUCCACGCCGUAAACGAUGGGUGCUAGGUGUUGUGGGUAUCGACCCCCGCAGUGCCGGAGUUAACGCAAUAAGCACUCCGCCUGGG